rnacentral:tmRNA from 1 species
GGGGUCGACCGGUUUUGACAGCGGGAACGGUUGAUGAAGAAGCAUGCCGAGCGCUGAUUUACAGCUCGUAAAUAUCAUGAAUUACACCUAUAAACGGCGAAGACAACUACGCUCUUGCUGCCUAAUCUGAAGUUUAGUAAGAUUUAUUGGCUACGAUUCCGCUAGGCGGAAUUGCGAGAAGUUUCUCGGGAAUCUUGGUUUAUGCAUCCCGGCAAAGAAACUCCGUAUAAUAAACCUAGUCUUAAAGGGGCUUUGACUUUAGGAUAACAUUUCAUCGAAGCUACGUGUGUGCUAGGGUGUUUUCUCUCGGGUGCGUGCCGACAAUCAAAAGAAGACUAAGCAUGUAGAAGCUUUAUUAGUCGCUCGUUUGGACGAGGGUUCGAAUCCCUCCGACUCCACAU